GUGAGGAAUAUUGCGCAAUGGAGGCAACUCUGACGCAGCCAUGCCGCGUGCAGGAAGAAGGCGCUACGCGUUGUAAACUGCUUUUAACCGGGAAGAAACCCCAGGACGUGUCCUGGGUUGACGGUACCGGAGGAAUAAGCACCGGCUAACUUCGUGCCAGCAGCCGCGGUAAUACGAAGGGUGCAAGCGUUAUCCGGAGUCAUUGGGUUUAAAGGGUGCGUAGGCGGAGCGUUAAGUCAGUGGUGAAAUCCUGCAGCUUAACUGUAGACUUGCCAUUGAUACUGGCGCUCUUGAGUGCGCUUGAAGUGGGCGGAAUGUGCCGUGUAGCGGUGAAAUGCUUAGAUAUGGCACAGAACACCAAUUGCGAAGGCAGCUCACUAAGGCGAUACUGACGCUGAGGCACGAAAGCGUGGGGAUCGAACAGGAUUAGAAACCCCUGUAGUCC
rnacentral:rRNA from 1 species